ACUUCGGAUUAAGUAGGAAUACCCGCUAAACUUAAAUAUAUUAAUAAGCGGAGGAAAAGAAAUUAAUAAGGAUUACCUUAGUAAUAGCGAAUAAAGUGGUAAUAAUUUAAAUUUGAAAUUUAGCUUUAGCCCGAAUUGUAAUUUGUAGAAGAAGCUUUUAGUAAAGUACCUUCUAAAUCCCCUAGAAUAGAACGUUAUAGAGGGUAAAAGCCUUGUAUAGUUGGAUGCCGAUUUAAUAUAAAGUUCCUUCAAUAAAUCGAAUAGUUUAAGAAUAUUAUUCAAAAUAAGAAGUAAAUUUCUUCUAAAGUUAAAUAUUGGCUAAAGAUUGAUAGUGUAUAAAUAAAAUAAUUGAAAAAUAAAAAGUACUUUAAAAAGAGGGUUAAAUAGUAUAUAAAAUUAUUAAAAGGGAAGUAUUUGUAAUUAAAUUUAUACCAUUCCAAUUAUCCGGUAUUUUUAUUAGUAUAUUCGGAAUAGUUUAAACUAAUAUUAGUUUUAGUAGAGGGAUAAAGGUCCGAGGAAUAUAAUUCCUCUGGGAGUAUUAUAGCCCUGGGCGUAAUACCCUUAUUAGGAUUGAAGUUCGCGUAUCUAUAAGGAUACUAAUAUAAUAGUUAUUAACGAUUUAUUUUAAAAUAUAGAUUAAGGAAUUAAAGUUUUAUAUAAAUAUUUAGGUAUAAAACUUGUAUAUAUAAUAAAAAUAAAUGUAAGUAAGAGCUUUAGUAUAUUAUCGACUAAUUUUAAUAUAUUUAGAUAGAUUUAAAUAAGAAUAUUAAGUUUUAGACUUAAAAGAUAGUGAAUUAUAUUUAAAUAGGGUAAAGCUAGAGGAAAUUCUAAUAGAGGUUCGUAAUAGUUCUAAUAUAUAAAUCGAUUAUUAAAUUUAAAUAUAGGGGUGAAAGAUUAAUUGAAUUAUUUAAUAGCUAAUUACUACCGAAAUUUCCCUUAAGAUAGUAAUAUUAUUCUUUAAUUUUAUAAGGUAAAGCGAAUAAUUAGGGAUUCGGGGGCGCUUUUUAACCUUUAUCUAUUUUUAAAUUUUAAAUAUAUAAGAAGCCUUUAUUAUUUAAUUAAAUGUAGGUAUUCGAAUGUACUAAUAUUAGUAGGCUAUUUUUAGUAAGUAGAAUUAGUAAUAUAGGAUAAACCGAACGUGGGGUUAAGGUAUUGAAGUAGACGCUUAUUAAAUACUAUAAAAGGCGUUAGUAUAUUUUAAUAGUAAAAUAAUAGUUAUAGAAAUUGGAAUCUGCUAAGGACUAUAUAAUAAUUUACUUACCGAAUAUACUAGCCCUAAAAAUAAAUAGCGUUUAAGCGUUCUACUUAUACCUUGCCUUUAGGGUAAAAAUGAUACUUUAAGGAAUAAGUAAUUGUAGAGGUUAGUAAUAAAACCUAGGGCGUAAACCUGGGUCGAACGGCUUCUAGUAUAAAUUUUAGUAGUAGUAGUAAAUAUUUUAAUAAGAAUUUGAAGGAUUGAAGUAGGGAAAGGUUUUAUAUAAAUAAUAGUUAGAUAUAGGUUAGUCGAUCCUAAACUAUAGGGAAGUUCUAUUUCAAAAGGGUAUUUAUACCCCGUAUAGUAAAAGGGAAACCGGUUAAUAUUCCGGUACCUAAAUAUAGAUUUUAUAUAAUAAUACAAUUAAAUGUAGAAAUAAUAGUGGGGGCCUUAGGUAGAAUUCUCUUUUCUUCUUAAUAAUCUAUUACUUUAAAAAUAAUUUAUUUAGAAAUAAGGUUUAAUAGUUGGAAGAGUCCGAUACUUUUAUUGGGUCUAAUACGUUUUUAAUGUUCUUUAAAAAUCCGUAGAAGGGAAUAAUUCUUAUGCUAAAUUAUACUUAUAACCGUAAUAAAUUUUUAAAGUAAAUAGCCUCUAAUUAAUAGAAUAAUAUAGAUAAGGGAAGUCGGUAAAAUAGAUUUGUAAUUUUAGGAAAAGGAUUAAUUCUAAGGGUUAAGUACGUCGGGUUUUGGGUAGAUGCCCUAGGAGUAGAUCGCUAUUAGCCGGGUAACCGGCUGGCGGUUUUUAAUAUUCGGGUAUAAAAGUCCUUAGUAGAUUUCGGUUGUCUAGUGUAUAUUUAAUAACUAAUUUAAAAUUAGUACGGAUAAGGGGAAUUUAAUUAUUUAAUUAAAAUAUAGUAUUGCAAUGGCUAGAAAGUAGUAUUAAUAUAAUAUAAUUUCUAUUUAGUAUUCUAAAUAUUAAAGUAAAGAAAUUUAAUUAAGCGUAGGUAAAUAGCGGGAGUAACUAUAAUUCUCUUAAAGUAGCCAAAUACUUUAUUAUUUAAUUAAUAAUGUAUAUAAAUAGAUUAAUAAAAUUCCUAUUAUCCCUAUCUACUAUCUAGUGAAACUAUAGUUAAGGGAAUAAAUUUAGUAGAAUUAAUGGGGAAAGAAGACCCUAUUAAAUUUAAUUCUAAUUUAAUAUUAUAAAAAGAUAUAGGAGGUGUAGAAUAAGUAGGAGCUUCGGCGCUGGUAAAAUACUACUAUUCCUAUUGUUUUUUUAUUUAUUUAAUUAAGCAGAGUUAGAUUUUUGUCCAAUUUCUAGUUUUAAGGUCCUUCGUAGGCCGACCCGGGUUAAAGAUAUUAUUAAAUAGGGAGUUUAACUAGGGCGGUAUAUUUAUUAAACUAUAAUAUAAGUAUCCUAAGGGGGGUUUAUAGAGAAUAGAAAUCUCUAGUAAAAUAAAAGGGUAAAAGUCCCUUUAAUUUUAAUUUUCAAUAUAAAUAUAAACUAUAAAAGUGUAGCUUAUUAAUCCUUUAGUCCUUCGAAAUUUGAAGUUAGAAGUGCCAGAAAAGUUACUAUAGGGAUAAUUAGCUUGUAGCGGCUAAAUAUUUAUAGUAAUAUUAUUUUUUAAUCUUUUAAUAUCGGUUUUUCCUAUUAUACCGAAGUAGAAUUUAGUAAGUAUUAGAUUGUUUACUUACUAAUAAAGAAUGUAAAUUAAAUUUAGACUGUUGUAAGAUAAGUUAAUUUUACCCUACUAAUAAUUUUAUUGUAAUAGUAAUUGAACUUAAUAUGAAAGGAACCGUUUAUUUAAAUAAUUAGUUUUUACGGUUGUCCGACUAGGUAAUACUAUAAUACUACUAUUUAUUAGAUAAUAGCUAAACGCUUCUAAAUUAAAAUCUAUAUUAAAAUGCAAUAAUACUUCUAGUACGUUAUAAAUAUAUAAGAAUAAGCUCCGGCCUUAUAUUUUAAUAAGCAAUUCCUCUAUUAACUUUAAAGUGGUUAGCGGUAAUUUGUAUAUUAUAAUUUUAAUACGUAUUAGAUUAAAUCCUUUAUAAACGAUUUAAAUAUAUAAAAGGGUCCUAUAAGUAGUAGAAUAACUUUAUUAUUAUAAUUUAUUAAAGGUAAACCCUCCUUCGCCUAAAUUUCC
rfam:Neurospora crassa OR74A unplaced genomic scaffold supercont12.16, whole genome shotgun sequence.